UACAGAGGUCUCAAGCGUUGUUCGGAUUCAUUGGGCGUAAAGGGUGCGUAGGUGGCGCGCUAAGUCAGGUGUGAAAUUUCGGAGCUUAACUCCGAAACUGCAUUUGAUACUGGCGUGCUUGAGGACUGGAGAGGAGACUGGAAUUCACGGUGUAGCAGUGAAAUGCGUAGAUAUCGUGAGGAAGACCAGUGGCGAAGGCGGGGUCUCUGGACAGUUCCUGACACUGAGGCACGAAGGCCAGGGGGAGCAAAACGGG
rnacentral:rRNA from 1 species